rnacentral:rRNA from 1 species
UGGGGAAUCUUGGACAAUGGGCGCAAGCCUGAUCCAGCCAUGCCGCGUGAGUGAAGAAGGCCUUAGGGUUGUAAAGCUCUUUUGCCAGGGACGAUAAUGACGGUACCUGGAGAAUAAGCCCCGGCAAACUUCGUG